rnacentral:rRNA from 1 species
UACGGAGGAUCCAAGCGUUAUCCGGAAUCAUUGGGUUUAAAGGGUCCGUAGGCGGUUUUGUAAGUCAGUGGUGAAAGCCCAUCGCUCAACGGUGGAACGGCCAUUGAUACUGCAAGACUUGAAUUAUUGGGAAGUAACUAGAAUAUGUAGUGUAGCGGUGAAAUGCUUAGAGAUUACAUGGAAUACCAAUUGCGAAGGCGGGUUACUACCAAUAUAUUGACGCUGACGUGGGAAGAA